rnacentral:rRNA from 1 species
GUCCACGCCGUAAACGAUGUCUACUAGCCGUUGGGAGACUUGAUUUCUUAGUGGCGCAGCUAACGCAAUAAGUAGACCGCCUGGGGAGUACGGCCGCAAGGUUAAAACUCAAAUGAAUUGACGGGGGCCCCGCACAAGCGGUGGAGCAUGUGGUUUAAUUCGAUGCAACGCGAAGAACCUUACCAGGUUUUGACAUCCAGAGAACUUUCCAGAGAUGGAUUGGUGCCUUCGGGAGCUCUGAGACAGGUGCUGCAUGGCUGUCGU